rnacentral:tRNA from 1 species
GAACUGCUAAUUCUUACCCCUGAAGUUAAAUUCUCCAGACCCCUCACUUUUAAAGGAUAACAGACAAUC